UACGUAGGGUGCGAGCGUUAAUCGGAAUUACUGGGCGUAAAGCGUGCGCAGGCGGUUCUGAAAGUCAGCUGUGAAAGCCCCGGGCUUAACCUGGGAAUUGCGGUUGAAACUACAGGGCUAGAAUCUGGCAGAGGGGGGUGGAAUUCCACGUGUAGCAGUGAAAUGCGCAGAUAUUAGGAGGAACACCGGUGGCGAAGGCGCCGCUCUGGGCCGAAACUGACGCUGAGGAGCGAAAGCAUGGGUAGCAAACAGG
rnacentral:rRNA from 1 species